rnacentral:rRNA from 1 species
GGAUUAGAUACCCUGGUAGUCCACGCCGUAAACGAUGGAUACUAGCUGUUGGGAGCAAUUUCAGUGGCUAAGCGAAAGUGAUAAGUAUCCCACCUGGGGAGUACGAACGCAAGUUUGAAACUCAAAGGAAUUGACGGGGGCCCGCACAAGCGGUGGAGCAUGUGGUUUAAUUCGAUGACACGCGAGGAACCUUACCAAGGCUUAAAUGUAGAUUGACCGGUUUGGAAACAGACUUUUCGCAAGACAAUUUACAAGGUGCUGCAUGGUUGUCGUCAGCUCGUGCCG